GGGAAAACAGGAAAGAAUUUAUAAAAGAAUUGUGGUGUAUUAGAAAGAGAAGAAACUUAAACAAACACAACCAAAGGGGGAAUAAAACAAGCAAGGGAGGAGCCGUUUCAAUGGCACUUCACGCCAAAGAAUUGUUGUAUUACGGAAGGAAGAAACUCAAACAAACAUAAACUUACAGAGAGAAGAAACUCAAACAAACACAAACUUACAGAGAGAAGAAACUCAAACAAAGACAACCAAAGGGGGAAUAAAACAAGCAUGGGAGGAGCAGUUUCAAAGGCAUUUCCCGCCUAUUACUACUGCUAUCACCAGGAUCGUCCUCUCCCCUACCCCCAUAAUAAUUUGACAAAUACCAAUACCCUCAGAUUUCGAAAAUGUCUUACGACCGGAGACGGGCCGAGCUGCCUGACAUAACGGGAAUGACCAGCCUGAAGGUGGACAACAUCCCACCUGGGACAGUCCAUGAGGACUUGAGACGUCUGUUCGAGAAGUUCGGGGAGAUAGGAGACGUUCACAUCCCCAAGAACUAUGACAGAUACGGAGAGAUCCGCGGCUUUGCUUAUAUUAGGUUUUAUGAUUCCCGAGAUGCCAAAGAUGCUAUGGAGGGCAUGGAUGGUCGUAGAUACGAAAAUAGAGAGCUUCGAGUUCAGAUAGAGAGGAACGAACGUCCAGAAAAACCAAGAUGGUCAGAAUCGCGAGAGUCAAGGGAAAGGCAUCAACAUUCAAGACGGUCAGGAUCAUCAGAGCCGAUGGAAAUUUCAUCGGAUAAUAGCAUGACUUCUACUUAAGAGAUGCCUUUGAUAUUCAGAUUUAAUUUUGCUACAAAUUGUAAGUUUUAUGAAAAUAAACUUAUUUAUUUUUUUAAUUAAACUAUUAUUUUAUUGAUGAUGCCUCAACUAAGGGAUCACUAAAAUGAACUUUUAUAAUUCUUGACAUUAAAAUGAUUACUUUUCAAAAGUCUUUUCCAUAUAGUAGUAUGUAAGACAGUCAUAAAUACUAAUUACAAUUAUACAGAAUAACCUGCAGACAGUAUACAAUAUACAUGGCAGUGGCCUUCACAUGAAAAAUAGUUACAGUAAUUAAAAAAAAAAAAAAUACAUUCUUAAUCUGGUUGUCCAUGGUGGUAUAGCCAAUACUUUGGGUUGUCUAAUUGGGCCUUCUCUGAUCAUGCUUUAGUCUUAUAAACUAUUAAAAUUAAGCAAAAUGUCCUUGAUGUGCCCUACUAUUGUAAGAAAUUUUAAAUUUCAAGAAGGCUAGAAUGAAAUUGGAGUAUAUGUACAUGGCAGAAUCAUGUACAUAUACCCAUGUAACACAUACGGUUUAUUGAAUUUUCUGUUUCAUCUGAAAAUUAAUGUAAUUUGACUACUGUAAUAUACUGGUAUGACUCAGAAACAUAGUUGUGAGGCUACUCUUAAAUCUGCACUUAAUUUGGUGUUGACUCAAUAGUUCCUCAUUUGAUUAAACCAGAUGGCUCUAUCAAUUGUGUAAAGUUGAGGGCAACCCUUCUAGCUGACUUGUUCGACAGAAAGUAGAUUAAAGAGACAUGCAAUAUGAGUCAUUCCUGUUUUCCUGACGCUAAAGCUGUGUAGGCUUUAGUCUUUUACUCAACUUUGAUGAUUAUGGAGGUGUAGCCCCAAAUGGUAUUUUCCCAAUUUUUGUGUAAACAGCCAAUUACUUAGCUCCAAAGUUGUCCUGUAGUUUUCAUGAGCUAACUCUUUUUGCAGUUAUUGGAUAAUUUGUAAUGUUAUUCCAUUAAGUAAAUGUGGUGGACUACCUUUAACUCUGCUGAUUACUGCCAAUUUCUGUAACUUCCAUGUUAUGUAACAUUAUUGGAUGUUUAAUGGCAAAGCAUCCUAAUGUCUGUGUUGAAAGUAAAUCUUUGCUCUCUAGUGUGCAGCUUGGGUUUCACAAGGCCAGGUUGCUUUUGAUGUCUUCUGUGAUUUCCUGUAUUGUAUGGAUGACAAAUAAAAGGCAAAAAUAA